GAUGAGCGCUGGCGGCGUGCCUAAUACAUGCAAGUCGAGCGAACGGACGAGAAGCUUGCUUCUCUGAUGUUAGCGGCGGACGGGUGAGUAACACGUGGAUAACCUACCUAUAAGACUGGGAUAACUUCGGGAAACCGGAGCUAAUACCGGAUGAUAUUUUGAACCGCAUGGUUCAAAAGUGAAAGACGGUCUUGCUGUCACUUAUAGAUGGAUCCGCGCUGCAUUAGCUAGUUGGUAAGGUAACGGCUUACCAAGGCAACGAUGCAUAGCCGACCUGAGAGGGUGAUCGGCCACACUGGAACUGAGACACGGUCCAGACUCCUACGGGAGGCAGCAGUAGGGAAUCUUCCGCAAUGGGCGAAAGCCUGACGGAGCAACGCCGCGUGAGUGAUGAAGGUCUUCGGAUCGUAAAACUCUGUUAUUAGGGAAGAACAUAUGUGUAAGUAACUGUGCACAUCUUGACGGUACCUAAUCAGAAGGCCACGGCUAACUACGUG
rnacentral:rRNA from 1 species